UACGGAGGAUCCAAGCGUUAUCCGGAAUCAUUGGGUUUAAAGGGUCCGUAGGCGGUUUAAUAAGUCAGUGGUGAAAGCCCAUCGCUCAACGGUGGAAUGGCCAUUGAUACUGUUAGACUUGAAUUAUUAGGAAGUAACUAGAAUAUGUAGUGUAGCGGUGAAAUGCUUAGAGAUUACAUGGAAUACCAAUUGCGAAGGCAGGUUACUACUAAUGGAUUGACGCUGAUGGACGAAAGCGUGGGUAGCGAACAGG
rnacentral:rRNA from 1 species